AUACAGAGGUCUCAAGCGUUGUUCGGAAUUACUGGGCGUAAAGCGUGUGUAGGCGGCGGGGUAAGUCAGAUGUGAAAGCCCGGGGCUCAACCCCGGAACUGCAUCCGAUACUGCCCUGCUAGAGUAGUGGAGGGGAGACUGGAAUUCACGGUGUAGCAGUGAAAUGCGUAGAUAUCGUGAGGAACACUAGUGGCGAAGGCGAGUCUCUGGACACUUACUGACGCUGAGACACGAAGGCUAGGGUAGCGAAAGGGAUUAGAUACCCCUGUAGUCCUAGCAGUAAACGGUGCGCGCUUGGUGUGGGAGGAUUCGACCCCUUCCGUGCCGGAGCUAACGCGUUAAGCGCGCCGCCUGGGGAGUACGGCCGCAAGGCUAAAACUCAAAGAAUUGACGGGGACCCGCACAAGCGGUGGAGUAUGUGGCUUAAUUCGAUGCAACGCGAAGAACCUUACCUACUCUUGACAUACUUGGAAGCUCUUGUAAUGAGAGUGUGCCUUAUGGAACCAAGA
rnacentral:rRNA from 1 species